ensembl:lncRNA
UGGGGCGGGGAAUGGGGGUUAUGGGGCUGAUAUGGGGGGAUAUGGGGCGGAUAUGGGGUAUAUGGGGGGCUAUGGGGCGGAUGUGGGGGCUAUGGGGCGGAUAUAGGGUUUAUGGGGGGCUAUGGGGCGGAUGUGGGGGCUAUGGGGCAGGUAUGGGGGCUAUGGGGCAGAAAUUAGGGGCUAUGGGGCAGAAAUGAGGGGCUAUGGGGCAGAAAUGAGGGGCUAUGGGGCAGAUAUGGGGGCUAUGGGGCAGGGAAUGGGGGUUAUGGGGUGGAUAUGGGGGGAUAUGGGGCAGGGAAUGGGGGUUAUGGGGCGGAUAUGGGGGGCUAUGGGGCGGAUAUGGGGGGCUAUGGGGCAGAUAUGGGGGCUAUGGGGCAGGGAAUGGGGGUUAUGGGGCGGAUAUGGGGGGAUAUGGGGCGGAUAUGGGGUAUAUGGGGGGCUAUGGGGCGGAUAUGGGGGCUAUGGGGCAGGGAAUGAGGGUUAUGGGGCGGAUAUGGGGGGAUAUGGGGUGGAUAUAGGGUAUAUGGGGGGCUAUGGGGCGGAUAUGGGGGCUAUGGGGCAGGGAAUGAGGGUUAUGGGGCGGAUAUGGGGGCAUAUGGGGGCUAUGGGACAGAUAUGGGGGCUAUGGGGCAGAAAUUAGGGGUUAUGGGGUGGAUAUGGGGGGAUAUGGGGCAGGGAAUGGGGGUUAUGGGGCGGAUAUGGGGGGCUAUGGGGCGGAUAUGGGGUAUAUGGGG